AUGCGUACGCGUUGGGUUCCACCAUAUUAUCAACGUGAAUUGCUUCAAAAAUUGCAGCGUUUAAGACAAGGGAAAAAUUCUGUAGAAGAAUAUUAUCAGGAAUUACAAACUGGCAUGAUUAGAUGUGGUAUUGUUGAGGAGAAUGAAGCUAUGCUUGCACGUUUUCUGGGUGUAUUAAAUAGAGAGAUUCAGACCAUUCUAGACUAUAAGGAGUAUACUAAUAUCACUCGUUUAUUCCAUCUUGCUUGUAAAGCUGAACGUGAAGUGCGGGAUCGACAAGCAUUGGGGCGAACUAACUUUUCUGCAGGCCGACCUUCAUCAUGGGCACCACAUGCAUCUUCUACUUCAACUGCACCAGCACCUCCAUCCGGUGCCACCUCCAGCCGUGAUACAAGAAAACAGGCACAACCACCAUUAUCUGCCAAGAGCGCACCUGCGGGGCCUGCACAACGUUCUUCUUCUUCCAUGGCAUCAACAGGGCACACAAGUGAUAUUAUUUGUCGUCGUUGUAAGGGAGGAGGUCAUUAUGCGAGAGAAUGCAAAUCUCCGCGUGUGAUGAUUGCUACCGCGGAUGGUGGAUAUGAGUCCGCUAGUGACUAUGAUGAGGAGACUUUGGCUCUUAUUACACGUGAAGAACAUGGUGGAGAUGAUUCUGAUCAUGAGACGCAAUACAUGGCUCCUGAAGACGCUGACAGGUAUGAAUGUUUAGUUGCUCAACGUGUUUUGAGUGUGCAGGUCACACAAGCUGAGCAAAAUCAGAGGCACAAUUUGUUCCAUACCAAGGGAGUUGUGAAGGAACGUUCUGUGCGCGUCAUAAUAGACGGAGGGAGAUGCAACAAUUUGGCUAGCAUGGAGAUGGUGGAGAAGCUUUCUCUCACCACAAGACCACAUCCACAUCCUUACUACAUCCAAUGGUUCAACAACAGCGGCAAGGUUAAGGUAACACGUACUGUUCGUGUGCAUUUUAGUAUCUCUACAUAUGCUGAUUAUGUUGAUUGUGAUGUGGUACCUAUGCAAGCAUGUUCCUUAUUACUUGGUAGACCAUGGCAAUUUGAUAAAAAUUCUGUACACCAUGGUAGAAACAAUCACUAUACUCUUGUUCAUAAGGAUAAAAAUAUUACUUUGCUUCCUAUGACUCCUGAUUCCAUUUUGAAAGAUGAUAUUAAUAGAGCUAAUAAAGCACAACAGGAGAAGAAUAAGAGUGAAAAUCAGAUUGUGGCAAAAGAAUUUGAGCAACAAAUGAAGCCUAAUAAUAAACCAUCUAGUGUUGUUUCUGAAAUUAAAUUGAAAAGUGCAUGUUUAUUUGCCACCAAAUCUGAUAUUGAUGAGCUAGAUUUCAGCAAAUCUGUUUGCUAUGCUUUUGUGUGCAAAGAGGCAUUCUUUUCAUUCGAGGACGUGCCUUCCUCUUUGCCUCCUGCUGUCACUAACAUUUUGCAGGAGUUCGCUGACGUUUUUCCACAAGACGUACCACCGGGAUUACCGCCUAUUCGAGGGAUUGAGCAUCAGAUUGACUUAAUUCCCGGUGCUUCACUGCCAAAUCGUGCACCAUACCGUACCAAUCCAGAGGAGACGAAGGAGAUUAUGCGUCAAGUACAAGAGCUUCUCGACAAAGGUUAUAUACGCGAAUCCCUUAGUCCUUGUGCUGUUCCUAUUAUUCUAGUGCCGAAAAAGGAUGGUACAUCAUGUAUGUGUGUUGAUUGUAGAGGCAUUAAUAAUAUUACUAUUUGUUAUCGUCAUCCUAUUCCUAGGCUAGAUGAUAUGCUUGAUGAAUUGAGUGGCUCUACAAUUUUCUCCAAAGUUGAUUUGCGUAGUGGCUACCAUCAAAUUCGUAUGAAAUUGGGAGAUGAAUGGAAAACAGCAUUUAAAACUAAGUUUGGAUUAUAUGAGUGGUUAGUCAUGCCUUUUGGGUUAACUAAUGCACCUAGUACUUUCAUGAGAUUAAUGAACGAAGUUUUACGUGCUUUCAUUGGACGAUUUGUGGUCGUUUACUUUGAUGACAUAUUGAUUUAUAGCAGAUCUUUGGAAGAACAUUUGGAACAUUUACGUGCUGUUUUUAUUGCUCUACGUGAUGCACGUUUGUUUGGUAACCUUGGGAAGUGCACCUUUUGCACCGACCGAGUAUCUUUUCUUGGCUAUGUUGUUACUCCACAGGGAAUUGAAGUUGAUAAAGCCAAGAUUGAAGCUAUUGAGAGUUGGCCGCAGCCCAAAACGGUCACACAAGUGAGGAGUUUUCUUGGCCUCGCUGGAUUCUAUAGGCGUUUUGUGAGAGAUUUCAGCACCAUUGCUGCACCUCUCAAUGAGCUUACAAAGAAAGAUGUGCCUUUUCUUUGGGGUACCGCACAGGAAGAAGCCUUCAUGGUAUUGAAAGAUAAGUUGACACAUGCUCCUUUACUCCAACUUCCUGAUUUUAAUAAGACUUUUGAGCUUGAAUGUGAUGCUAGUGGAAUUGGAUUAGGCGGUGUGUUAUUACAAGAUGGCAAACUUGUUGCAUACUUUUCUGAAAAAUUGAGUGGGCCUAGUCUGAAUUAUUCUAGUUAUGAUAAAGAAAUAUAUGCUCUUGUUCGGACUUUAGAAACAUGGCAACAUUAUUUAUGGCCCAAAGAAUUUGUUAUACAUUCUGAUCAUGAAUCUUUGAAACAUAUUAAAAGUCAAGCUAAACUGAAUCGUAGACAUGCUAAAUGGGUUGAAUUCAUUGAGACUUUCCCUUAUGUCAUUAAACACAAGAAGGGAAAAGAAAGUGUUAUUGCUGAUGCAUUGUCUCGUCGCUAUACUAUGCUUUCACAACUUGACUUCAAAAUAUUUGGUUUGGAGACCAUCAAAGAUCAAUAUGUGCAUGAUGCUGAUUUUAAAGAUGUAAUGCAGAAUUGUAAAGAAGGAAGAAUGUGGAACAAGUUUGUUGUUAAUGAUGGAUUUGUGUUUCGUGCUAACAAGCUAUGCAUUCCAGCUAGCUCCGUUCGUCUUUUGUUGUUGCAGGAGGCGCAUGGAGGAGGAUUAAUGGGACACUUUGGCGUGAAGAAGACGGAGGACGUACUUGCUACACAUUUCUUUUGGCCAAAGAUGAGACGGGAUGUUGAGCGUUUUAUUGCUCGCUGCACUACAUGUCAAAAAGCUAAGUCAUGA
rnacentral:rRNA from 1 species